AUUGAACGCUGGCGGCAGGCUUAACACAUGCAAGUCGAACGGUAACAUAAAGAAGCUUGCUUCUUUGAUGACGAGUGGCGGACGGGUGAGUAAUGCUUGGGAAUCUAGCUUAUGGAGGGGGAUAACUACGGGAAACUGUAGCUAAUACCGCGUAAUAUCGAGAGAUUAAAGUGUGGGACCUUCGGGCCACAUGCCAUAAGAUGAGCCCAAGUGGGAUUAGGUAGUUGGUGAGGUAAAGGCUCACCAAGCCGACGAUCUCUAGCUGGUCUGAGAGGAUGACCAGCCACACUGGGACUGAGACACGGCCCAGACUCCUACGGGAGGCAGCAGUGGGGAAUAUUGCGCAAUGGGGGCAACCCUGACGCAGCCAUGCCGCGUGAAUGAAGAAGGCCUUCGGGUUGUAAAGUUCUUUCGGUAGUGAGGAAGGCAUUUAGUUUAAUAGACUAGGUGAUUGACGUUAACUACAGAAGAAGCACCGGCUAACUCCGUGCCAGCAGCCGCGGUAAUACGGAGGGUGCGAGCGUUAAUCGGAAUAACUGGGCGUAAAGGGCACGCAGGCGGUGACUUAAGUGAGGUGUGAAAGCCCCGGGCUUAACCUGGGAAUUGCAUUUCAUACUGGGUCGCUAGAGUACUUUAGGGAGGGGUAGAAUUCCACGUGUAGCGGUGAAAUGCGUAGAGAUGUGGAGGAAUACCGAAGGCGAAGGCAGCCCCUUGGGAAUGUACUGACGCUCAUGUGCGAAAGCGUGGGGAGCAAACAGGAUUAGAUACCCUAGUAGUCCAAGGGCGAAUUCCACAGUGGAUAUCAUGCUUAUCGAUACCGUCGACCUCGAGGGGGGGCCCGGUACCCAGCUUUGUUCCCUUUAGUGAAGGGUUA
rnacentral:rRNA from 1 species